rnacentral:rRNA from 1 species
ACGCGUAUGUAACCUACCUAUAACAGGGGCAUAACACUGAGAAAUUGGUACUAAUUCCCCAUAAUAUUCGGAGAGGCAUCUCUCCGGGUUGAAAACUCCGGUGGUUAUAGAUGGACAUGCGUUGUAUUAGCUAGUUGGUGAGGUAACGGCUCACCAAGGCAACGAUACAUAGGGGGACUGAGAGGUUAACCCCCCACACUGGUACUGAGACACGGACCAGACUCCUACGGGAGGCAGCAGUGAGGAAUAUUGGUCAAUGGACGCAAGUCUGAACCAGCCAUGCCGCGUGCAGGAAGACGGCUCUAUGAGUUGUAAACUGCUUUUGUACGAGGGUAAACUCACCUACGUGUAGGUGACUGAAAGUAUCGUACGAAUAAGGAUCGGCUAACUCCGUGCCAGCAGCCGCGGUAAUACGGAGGAUUCAAGCGUUAUCCGGAUUUAUUGGGUUUAAAGGGUGCGUAGGCGGUUUGAUAAGUUAGAGGUGAAAUCCCGGGGCUUAACUCCGGAACUGCCUCUAAUACUGUUAGACUAGAGAGUAGUUGCGGUAGGCGGAAUGUAUGGUGUAGCGGUGAAAUGCUUAGAGAUCAUACAGAACA